UUUAAAUAUUUAAAUUUUAAUUUUGUUUGAAUUUAUAGUGAAUAUAAUAAUUGCAUAAUUUAAAUUUAUAAUAAAUUUUUAUGGUUUUGUAAUAAAAAUAAUUAAAUUAUUUAUUUUAUAUUAAUUUUAAUGUAAAUGAUGAUAAUUAUAAGUAUUAAAGUUUAAUUUAUUUUUAGUACCUUUUGUAUCAGGGUUUAUUAAAAUUAUCUAAAUUAAUAUUGAUUAUCUCGAAAGUGAGAGAGCUACAAAUAUAUAUGUUGAGUUAAUGUUUCAUCAUUAUUUAUAAUGUUUUUGUAGGGGUGAUAUGCUAUUCGAUCUUAUUGAUAUCUAGUUCUUGUUUAAUCUAAUUUAAUUAGGGGAAGAGGCUGAUUUUAGUAAUUUUUUAUUUAUAUUAUUAUAAAACCUCUUUCUUAUAUCUAGGGGGAUUACCUCCUAGAUUUAAUUAAAAAUUUUAUAUUUUAAGUUUAAAAAAUUAUAAAUAAUAUUUUUAAUAUUUAGUAAAAAUUUAAUAAUUUAUUAAAAUUAUUUUUAUUUAUUAUUAAUUUAUAAAGUUAUUUUAAUGGCAUAAACAAUUAAAUUAUUAAAUAAAAUUUUAAUUGAAAUAAUGAUAAAAUAAGUAUAAUGAAAGAUAAUAUUUUAUUAGAUAUUAUUGGUUUAAGUAUAUAAAAAUUUUAUUUUUUUAAUAUAUAUAAUAAAUUUAUGAAUUAGGCAAGAGCUAGGUUUAUCUGUUUAUCAAAGACAUAUUCUUUAGACUAAUAAUUUAAGGUGGCCCCUGCUCAAUGAUACUUUUUAAAUAGCCGCAGUACUAUGACUGUGCUAAGGUAGCAUAAUAAUUUGCCUUCUAAUUAGAGGCUUGUAUGAAUGGGGUAAUGAGAUCUAUACUUUAUUAAUUUAUUUUGUUAGAAUUUAAUGUUUAAGUAAAAAUUCUUAAAUUGAGUCAGAGGACGAGAAGACCCUAUAGAAUUUAAUAAAUUAUUUUAUCAUUAAUUAUUUUAGGUAUGGAUAAAUUAUUUUAUUUAGUUGGGAGGAUUUCUAAAUUACUUGAACUUUAGAUUUGUUUUAAACCAAUAAUUAUUGUAUUUAUGAUUAUAAUUAUAUAUGUAAGAAUUAAUUACCUUAGGGAUAACAGCGUAAUACUUUUGGGUAGUUCAUAUAUAUAAAAGUGUUUGCGACCUCGAUGUUGAAUUAAGAUUGAGUUAUAAGUAGAGCUAUAACUUUUAAGUCUGUUCGACUUUAUAAAUGAUCUUACAUGAUUUGAGUUCAGAUCGGCGUGAGCCAGAUCGGUUUCUAUCCUUGAAAGAUUUAAAUAAUUUUUGUACGAGAGGACUAAAUUAUUUUAAUAUAUUAAAUUUAA
rnacentral:rRNA from 1 species